AGGUAAAAAAAAAAGAAAAAGAAGAAAAAGUCUGAUGAAGGUAAACGAAAAAAAAAAAAAAAACCAAGGUAAAAAGAGAAAUAUUGUUCAUGUUAGAUACAAAGGAGGUUAGGUAUAUGAAGAGGUAUUUUGUUUUCAAAACAAAUAUUUAUUACAUCACCAGCUAUAAGAAUAUUAAUGUUUUUUAACUACUAUUUUUAAUCUUUAUUGUUUGUAGAGAAAAAUUAGACCACUUUAAUUUUUUCCAUUGUGAAGAAUAUAAUACUUUUUUUAAAAUCCAUAAGUGUAAAAUAACCAAUGAAGUUGUCUGCAUAGGAAGGAAUGAAUGUAAACAAAUUCAGAGAAAGAAAAUAGUUUGAAGAAAUAAGUUUUUUGUACAUAGAACAUAGAUCUUCAGUAAUAUUUGGUAUUUUUAAAUUAAAGAUAAAAAAGGGUAAUCUAUUGUUAAACCACAACUUUGCUGUGAAGCUCAAUAUUUCUGAAUAAUUAACUGCAUAUGAUUCAAGAAAUUAACAUUUCAGGUUUUUUCUCAAUAUUUUUCCAACUGUUAUACAUGUCCGAAAUCUAUUGUGUGUAAAUAACUUUCUGUUAAAUGAUUUCUCUGUUUAAAAAACAAAGUUAAAAGUACAAACUUGAUUUCUGAAUCGUAAGACAAACAUAUUUUUUUGAAAGAAUCUGUUAUACGAAUACAAAAUUGCUGAAAUACAUUUCCCUGUAUAACAUUUUAAAAGUGGAAAGGAAUAGAAACACCCUCUUUAAAACAUUUUGUUAUUUUAUUGUUAAACAACAACUUGUCUGUGAAGCUCAGUAUUUCUAAAUAAUUUGAAUAAUUUACUGCAUAGGAUCCAAUUAACUAUUGAAACAAAAGAAACUGACAAUUUCUCUAUUGUACAAUAAUUUUUUCCAAUUGUCAAAAAUUACAAAUCUAUUUUCUGUUUAACGAUUUCUGUGUUUAGGAUACUUACAAGAUUUUUAGUUACAAAAACCAAAAAGUUUUGAAAUACAUUGCUCUCAAGGAUGUAAAACCAUUUCCUUCAACCGGUAUAUGAAAA